rnacentral:rRNA from 1 species
GAUGAACGCUAGCUACAGGCUUAACACAUGCAAGUCGAGGGGAAACGACAUCGAAAGCUUGCUUUCGAUGGGCGUCGACCGGCGCACGGGUGAGUAACGCGUAUCCAACCUGCCCACCACUUGGGGAUAACCUUGCGAGAGUAAGACUAAUACCCAAUGAUAUCUCUAGAAGACAUCUGAAAGAGAUUAAAGAUUUAUCGGUGAUGGAUGGGGAUGCGUCUGAUUAGCUUGUUGGCGGGGUAAUGGCCCACCAAGGCUACGAUCAGUAGGGGUUCUGAGAGGAAGGUCCCCCACAUUGGAACUGAGACACGGUCCAAACUCCUACGGGAGGCAGCAGUGAGGAAUAUUGGUCAAUGGACGAGAGUCUGAACCAGCCAAGUAGCGUGCAGGAUGACGGCCCUAUGGGUUGUAAACUGCUUUUAUAAGGGAAUAAAGUGAGUCUCGUGAAACUUUUUGCAUGUACCUUAUGAAUAAGGACCGGCUAAUUCCGUGCCAGCCGCCGCAGUAA